rnacentral:rRNA from 1 species
GACGAACGCUGGCGGCGCGCUUAACACAUGCAAGUCGAACGGAAAGGCCUGCUUUCCCUUGUGGAUUGCGGGUACUCGAGUGGCGAACGGGUGAGUAACACGUGAGUGAUCUGCCCCCAACUUGGGUAUAAGCCUGGGAAACUGGGUCUAAUUCCCGAUAGGACUGCAGGGUGGUGCCUGUGGUGGAAAACGAUUUUCUAGUGGUUGGGGAUGAGCUCGCGGCCUAUCAGCUUGUUGGUGGGGUAAUGGCCUACCAAGGCGGCGACGGGUAGCCGGCCUGGGAGGGUGGACGGCCACAUUGGGACUGGGAUACGGCCCAGACGCCUACGGGAGGCAGCAGUGGGGAAUAUAGGACAAUGGGCGGAAGCCUGAGGCAGCGACGCCGCGUGGGGGAUGACGGCCUUCGGGUUGUAAACUCCUUUCGACCGCGAGGAAGCCACCUGGUUGGAAGGGUGGUGACGGUAGUGGUAGAAGAAGCACCGGCUAACUACGUG